AAAAAAAAAACAAAAAAAAAAACAACAGGCUUCUCCACACGACCUCUUCUUCUCUUGCUAUUGUUUUUUUUUUUUCCUUUUCCUUUU
rnacentral:ribozyme from 1 species